GGGCCCAUAGCUUAGCCUGGUAGAGCGGAAGUUAUAGAAUCUUCAGGUCAGGGGUUCGAAUCCCCUUGGGCCCA
rnacentral:tRNA from 1 species